rnacentral:lncRNA from 1 species
GCAAGAUCCAGCAAGAAAGGCAUUCCAGCUUGGAUGGAAGGAAGAUCCGUCCAGGUUACUCCUAGGUGACCGAGGCUUUACCAGGCCUGGAGGAGGAAGGCGGAUGCCCUCUUCAGUGGUGCCUUGUGGCGCUGGAGCAGUUCUGAUAUGCUGAGAGUGCAGAAGGCAGUGCCUGACAAGUCAAAUCUGAUGAGAACAGGAUGUCUAAAUGAAAAAGCAAGACUGAGGAAAA